rnacentral:misc_RNA from 1 species
UCUCCGUUGGUGAGCCAGCGGAGGGAUCAUUACCGAGUUUACAACUCCCAAACCCCAUGUGAACCUUCCCAAACGUUGCUUCGGCGGGAUGCCCCGGGCGCGGGCCGCAAGGCCUCAGCCCCGGAACCAGGCGCCCGCCGGAGGCCCAAACCAAACUCUUGUUUUUGUAGAAUCUUCUGAGUGGCCUUUUAGGCAAAAAAUGAAUCAAAACUUUCAACAACGGAUCUCUUGGUUCUG